GAAUUUUGGACAAUGGGCGAAAGCCUGAUCCAGCAAUGCCGCGUGCAGGAUGAAGGCCUUCGGGUUGUAAACUGCUUUUGUACGGAAAGAAAAGCUUUGGGUUAAUACUCUGGAGUCAUUACGGUACCGUUAGAAUACGCACCGGCUAACUCCAUGCCAGCCGCCGAGGUAAUCCGUAGGGUGCAAGCGCGAAUCGGAAUUACUGGGCGUAAAGCGUGGGCAGGCGGUUUUGGAAGACAGAGGUGAAAUCCACGGGCUCAACCUGGGAACUGCCUUUGUGACUGCAAGGCGAGAGUACGGCAGAGGGGGGUGGAAUUCCGCGUGUAGCAGUGAAAUGCGUAGAUAUGCGGAGGAACACCGAUGGCGAAGGCAACCCCCUGGGCCUGUACUGACGCUCAUGCACGAAAGCGUGGGGAGCAAACA
rnacentral:rRNA from 1 species